rnacentral:rRNA from 1 species
UCCGGUUGAUCCUGGCGGAGGUUACUGCUAUCGAGGUUCGACUAAGCCAUGCGAGUCGAAUGUAGCAAUACAUGGCGAACUGCUCAGUAACACGUGGACAACCUGCCCUUAGGUUGGGUAUAAACCCGGGAAACUGGGUAUAAUACCCGAUAGGUCUCGAUUGCUGGAAUGCAUCGAGAUUUAAAGCUCCGGCGCCCAAGGAUGGGUCUGCGGCCUAUCAGGUAGUAGUGGGUGUAGCGUACCUACUAGCCUACGACGGGUACGGGUUGUGAGAGCAAGAGCCCGGAGAUGGAUUCUGAGACACGAAUCCAGGCCCUACGGGGUGCAGCAGGCGCGAAAACUUUACAAUGCUGGCAACAGCGAUAAGGGAACCUCGAGUGCCAGGUUACAAAUCUGGCUGUCGAGAUGCCUAAAAAGCAUUUCAUAGCAAGGGCCGGGCAAGACCGGUGCCAGCCGCCGCGGUAACACCGGCGGCUCGAGUGGUAACCGUUAUUAUUGGG